GUCAUCCGUGCAAAAUAAUCUGA
rnacentral:siRNA from 1 species